GAAGGGGGAUGCAAGCGUUAUCCGGAAUCACUGGGCGUAAAGCGUCUGUAGGUGGUGAUGCAAGUCACUGGUGCAAAACUCUGGCUCAACCGGAGGAAAGCCAGUGAAACUGCAUGACUAGAGUGUGGGAGAGGUAGAAGGAAUUCCCUGAGUAGCGGUGAAAUGCGUAGAUACAGGGAAGAACACCGGAGGCGAAAGAGUUCUACUGGAACACAAAUGACACUGAGAGACGAAAGCUAGGGGAGCGAAUGGG
rnacentral:rRNA from 1 species